rnacentral:tRNA from 1 species
CAAGAAAUAGUUUAUUAGAAUAUUAAUUUUGGAGAUUAAAGGUAUAAUUUAAUUAUUUUUUUGA